rnacentral:rRNA from 1 species
CCUACGGGAGGCAGCAGUGAGGAAUAUUGGUCAAUGGGCGGAAGCCUGAACCAGCCAAGUAGCGUGCAGGAUGACGGCCCUACGGGUUGUAAACUGCUUUUAUACGGGAAUAACGCGCCUUACGUUUAGGGCUUUGCCUGUAACGUAUGAAUAAGGACCGGCUAAUUCCGGGCCAGAAGCCGCGGUAAUACGGAAGGUCCGGGCGUUAACCGGAUUUUUUGGGGUUACAGGGAGCGUAGGCCGGAUGUCAAGCGAGCUGUGAAAUGUCCGGGCUCAACCCGGGCCUUGCAGCGCGAACUGGCGUGCUUGAGUCCGGGAAAAGCAGGCGGAAUUCGUCGUGUAGCGGUGAAAUGCUUAGAUAUGACGAAGAACCCCGAUUGCGAAGGCAGCUUGCUGCAGCGGAACUGACGCUGAUGCUCGAAAGCGCGGGUAUCGAACAGGAUUAGAUACCCUAGUAGUC